UCAUAAAAUUAUUUUUAAAUUUUAAAAAUUGAAAAAGUUCGAAAAUCUCACCAAACAAUCUGGACCGUCCGAUUAUCGUUUUUUUCAAAUGGUGUCCAAUCAGAGCGGGACCAGUCCUACCUCGAAGAUCUCGUCGUCCUAAGUCCAUCGAUGGCCUCAGAUUUCCGAUCCGACGGUCGGAUCACCGAAAAAGUGAUCGAAAACCGAGAAACCAAUAUGAUUUUCUUCCAACUUUCUCUCGCCGGUUCUCUUUCCUCCGGCCACCAAACUGGGUGCCACUGGUCUCAUCUGAAAGUUCAUCAUCUUGGGAGUGUUCGUGGCACUUGAAAUCACCUGGAAUGGCUGCCGGAGUCGGCCGGGGCGACGCCGCGAAGUCGGGCCCUUGCUGCGCGCUCUCCCUCUCUCCUCUCUUUCCUCUCUCCUUCUCUCUCUUUCUGCUGCUUCCUGCUCGGUGCUGCUGUCGUCUGGUGGUUGCUCCGACACGGGGGGAGGCCGACGGUACCUCGCCGACACUGAUGCUGGCCGGCCGGAUGAAAAAAGGGAGGGAGAAAGUGAGGGGGAGAGUGGAGUCGGGGAGAGAGAAAUGGGGUGGGAGAGUGCUGCAUUUUUUUGUUUUUAAGUUU
rnacentral:misc_RNA from 1 species